CAGCAGCCGCGGGAAUACGGAGGGGGCUAGCGUUGUUCGGAAUUACUGGGCGUAAAGCGCACGUAGGCGGCUUGGUAAGUUAGAGGUGAAAGCCCGGAGCUCAACUCCGGAAUUGCCUUUAAGACUGCCGAGCUAGCAGGUGAGAGAGGUAAGUGGAAUUCCGAGUGUAGAGGUGAAAUUCGUAGAUAUUCGGAAGAACACCAGUGGCGAAGGCGGCUUACUGGCUCAUACUGGACGCUGAGGUGCGAAAGCGUGGGGAGCAAACAGGAUUAGAUACCCCAGUAGUCCCUGUCUCUUAUAU
rnacentral:rRNA from 1 species